rnacentral:rRNA from 1 species
AGAGUUGAUCUGGCUCAGAACGAACGCUGGCGGCAUGCCUAACACAUGCAAGUCGAACGCUCUUGGGGCUUCGGUUUCAAGGGAGUGGCGCACGGGUGAGUAGCGCGUGGGAACCUGCCCUGUUGUGGGGGAUAACCGAGGGAAACUUCGGCUAAUACCGCAUACGCCGGUUGUCUUGAGAGAGAUGGCCGGGAAAGAUUGAUCGCAGCAGGAGGGGCCCGCGUCGGAUUAGGUAGUUGGUGGGGUAACGGCCUACCAAGCCUGUGAUCCGUAGCUGGUCUGAGAGGAUGAUCAGCCACACUGGGACUGAGACACGGCCCAGACUCCUACGGGAGGCAGCAGUGGGGAAUAUUGGACAAUGGGCGCAAGCCUGAUCCAGCAAUGCCGCGUGAGUGAUGAAGGCCUUCGGGUUGUAAAGCUCUUUCGCACGCGACGAUGAUGACGGUAGCGUGAGAAGAAG